ACAGAUGGAAAAAAAACAUGCAACUCUGUAUCUAGGUGAGAAGUUUUGGUAUCUCCCUUUACCCUAGGAAGAAAUAAAACAUUAUAUGAUUACAGAGGACUUACGGAAUGUUUACUAUGAGUAUUAAAAGUCACAACAAUAUCAUCACCUUCAACAACAAAACAGGCUAAAGCCAUUUUGAAAAAAUUCCAGGGACAAGUGGGAUAAGUCUAAUGUGAAUGUACUUCCAACCUGCAGCUCUGCAUACAAAACCAGACUACAGUAAAGGGACACUUGGUCUAUUCACAAAAAUAAUCAUCAUCACUAUUUCUCUCUGGCACUACCUAGAGAAAGAAUUGCCAGUCAGCGAUCUGGAUCUCACAUCUAGAUUUAAUCCCGUG